rnacentral:rRNA from 1 species
GACGAACGCUGGCGGCGUGCUUAACACAUGCAAGUCGAACGGAAAGGCCUGCUUUCCCUUGUGGAUUGCGGGUACUCGAGUGGCGAACGGGUGAGUAACACGUGAGUGAUCUGCCCCCAACUUGGGUAUAAGCCUGGGGAACUGGGUCUAAUUCCCGAUAGGACUGCAGGGUGGUGCCUGUGGUGGAAAACGAUUUUCUAGUGGUUGGGGAUGAGCUCGCGGCCUAUCAGCUUGUUGGUGGGGUAAUGGCCUACCAAGGCGGCGACGGGUAGCCGGCCUGAGAGGGUGGACGGCCACAUUGGGACUGGGAUACGGCCCAGACUCCUACGGGAGGCAGCAGUGGGGAAUAUUGCACAAUGGGCGGAAGCCUGAUGCAGCGACGCAGCGUGGGGGAUGACGGCCUUCGGGUGGUAAACUCCUUUCGACCGCGAGGAAGCCACCUGGUUGGAAGGGUGGUGACGGUAGUGGUAGAAGAAGCACCGGCUAACUACGUG